ACGAAGGGGGCUAGCGUUGUUCGGAAUUACUGGGCGUAAAGGGCGCGUAGGCGGUUCGACAAGUCAGAUGUGAAAGCCCCGGGCUCAACCCGGGAACUGCGUUUGAUACUGUCGUGCUAGAAUUCGGGAGAGGUGAGUGGAAUUCCCAGUGUAGAGGUGAAAUUCGUAGAUAUUGGGAAGAACACCCGUGGCGAAGGCGGCUCACUGGACCGACAUUGACGCUGAGGCGCGAAAGCGUGGGGAGCAAACAG
rnacentral:rRNA from 1 species